GCUUCCUUAAGCUUCUUAGUGUUGCUUCUUCUCGCUCUUAUCAUUCCACAGGGGUUUGCCAACUAUGAGAAACCUCCCGUCUAUCAACCACCAGUGUACAAUCCACCAAUCGAGAAGCCUCCAGUUUAUAAGCCACCAGUGUACAAGCCACCAGUUGAACACCCGCCAAUUUACAAGCCACCAGUUGAGAAACCACCUGUGUACAAGCCACCUGUGUACAAGCCUCCAGUCUACAAGCCACCUGUAGAGAAACCACCAGUUUAUCAGCCACCAGUUGAAAAGCCUCCGGUUUAUAAGCCACCUGUCUACAAACCACCCGUCGAGAAGCCUCCAGUUUAUAAGCCACCUGUCUACAAACCGCCCGUCGAGAAGCCUCCAGUUUACAAGCCUCCAGUUUAUAAGCCACCUGUCUACAAACCACCCGUCGAGAAGCCUCCAGUUUACAAGCCACCUGUGUAUAAGCCACCUGUCGAAAAGCCUCCGGUGUAUGAGCCACCAGUAGAGAAACCUCCGGUCUACAAGCCACCAGUUUAUAAACACCCUAUCUAUAAGCCACAUGUAGAAACACCUCCGGUUUAUAAGCCACCAGUUAGGGCGCCACCAUAUUACACACCUCCAUACUAGAAACCACCUCUCAAUCCAAGUACUUGUGUCUAGAAAAUACUAUUAAGAAUAUAUGUUAAAUAAGAGAGAGAUGUAAAGUUUAUAAAGCAAGGAAUAUAGAUAUUCUUGUAAU
rnacentral:lncRNA from 1 species